rnacentral:rRNA from 1 species
AGUCGAACGGUAACAGGUCUUCGGAUGCUGACGAGUGGCGAACGGGUGAGUAAUACAUCGGAACGUGCCCGAUCGUGGGGGAUAACGGAGCGAAAGCUUUGCUAAUACCGCAUACGAUCUACGGAUGAAAGCGGGGGAUCUUCGGACCUCGCGCGGACGGAGCGGCCGAUGGCAGAUUAGGUAGUUGGUGGGAUAAAAGCUUACCAAGCCGACGAUCUGUAUCUGGUCUGAGAGGAUGAUCAGCCACACUGGGACUGAGACACGGCCCAGACUCCUACGGGAGGCAGCAGUGGGGAAUUUUGGACAAUGGGCGAAAGCCUGAUCCAGCCAUGCCGCGUGCAGGAUGAAGGCCUUCGGGUUGUAAACUGCUUUUGUACGGAACGAAAAGCCUCUUUCUAAUAAAGAGGGGUCAUGACGGUACCGUAAGAAUAAGCACCGGCUAACUACGUGCCAGCAGCCGCGGUAAUACGUAGGGUGCAAGCGUUAAUCGGAAUUACUGGGCGUAAAGCGUGCGCAGGCGGUUUUGUAAGACAGAGGUGAAAUCCCCGGGCUCAACCUGGGAACUGCCUUUGUGACUGCAAGGCUGGAGUGCGGCAGA